rnacentral:sRNA from 1 species
AAAUAAACCCGACCGGCAGCGUUAUCCCCGAUUCCUACUAUCGGGAUUAAGCAAAGGGCGGGACUAUCG